rnacentral:rRNA from 1 species
AUUGAACGCUGGCGGCAGGCCUAACACAUGCAAGUCGAACGGUAACAGGAAGAAGCUUGCUUCUUUGCUGACGAGUGGCGGACGGGUGAGUAAUGUCUGGGAAACUGCCUGAUGGAGGGGGAUAACUACUGGAAACGGUAGCUAAUACCGCAUAACGUCGCAAGACCAAAGAGGGGGACCUUCGGGCCUCUUGCCAUCGGAUGUGCCCAGAUGGGAUUAGCUAGUAGGUGGGGUAACGGCUCACCUAGGCGACGAUCCCUAGCUGGUCUGAGAGGAUGACCAGCCACACUGGAACUGAGACACGGUCCAGACUCCUACGGGAGGCAGCAGUGGGGAAUAUUGCACAAUGGGCGCAAGCCUGAUGCAGCCAUGCCGCGUGUAUGAAGAAGGCCUUCGGGUUGUAAAGUACUUUCAGCGGGGAUGAAGGGAGUAAAGUUAAUACCUUUGCUCAUUGACGUUACCCGCAGAAGAAGCACCGGCUAACUCCGUG